rfam:Gorilla gorilla gorilla genomic chromosome, chr3, whole genome shotgun sequence
GCCGGGCGCGGUGGCUCACGCCUGUAAUCCCAGCAGUUUGGGAGGCUGAGGUGGGUGGAUCACCUGAGGUCAGGAGUUCGAGACUAGCCUGACCAACAUGGUGAAACCCUGUCUCUA